CUCUGCCAUAAUGGAGCUGGGAGGGGAACAAGUUCCCCAGCACCCACCAACAGGAAGCUCCCAGCCUGAACCCCA